rnacentral:rRNA from 1 species
GAGUUUGAUUAUGGCUCAGAUUGAACGCUGGCGGCAGGCUUAACACAUGCAAGUCGAACGGUAGCAGGAAGAAAGCUUGCUUUCUUUGCUGACGAGUGGCGGACGGGUGAGUAAUGCUUGGGAAUCUGGCUUAUGGAGGGGGAUAACUGUGGGAAACUGCAGCUAAUACCGCGUAGUAUCGAGAGAUGAAAGGGUGGGACCUUCGGGCCACCUGCCAUAAGAUGAGCCCAAGUGGGAUUAGGUAGUUGGUGGGGUAAAGGCCUACCAAGCCGACGAUCUCUAGCUGGUCUGAGAGGAUGACCAGCCACACUGGGACUGAGACACGGCCCAGACUCCUACGGGAGGCAGCAGUGGGGAAUAUUGCGCAAUGGGGGGAACCCUGACGCAGCCAUGCCGCGUGAAUGAAGAAGGCCUUCGGGUUGUAAAGUUCUUUCGGUAAUGAGGAAGGGGUAUUAUUGAAUAGAUAAUAUCAUGACGU